CGGUGUUCAACUGGCGUGUCCGCGGGACGUCCUGCCGGUGGGCUUAGCCCGCAAGGGCGGCCCAACUUCAAAUCCCAUCGCGGUGCUCUUCACUGAGUGUCGAGGUGGGCCGGCACGUUUACUUUGAACAAAUUAGAGUGCUUAAAGCAGGCUAAAACUUCGCCUGAAUACUGUGUGCAUGGAAUAAUGGAAUAGGACCUCGGUUCUAUUUUGUUGGUUUUCGGAACCCCGAGGUAAUGAUUAAUAGGAACGGAUGGGGGCAUUCGUAUUGCGACGUUAGAGGUGAAAUUCUUGGAUCGUCGCAAGACGGACAGAAGCGAAAGCAUUUGCCAAAAACGCUUUCAUUGAUCAAGAACGAAAGUUAGAGGUUCGAAGGCGAUCAGAUACCGCCCUAGUUCUAACCAUAAACGAUGCCAGCUAGCGAUCCGUCGACGUUCCUCCGAUGACUCGACGGGCAGCUUCCGGGAAACCAAAGCUUUUGGGUUCCGGGGGAAGUAUGGUUGCAAAGCUGAAACUUAAAGGAAUUGACGGAAGGGCACCACCAGGAGUGGAGCCUGCGGCUUAAUUUGACUCAACACGGGAAACCUCACCAGGCCCGGACACCGGAAGGAUUGACAGAUUGAGAGCUCUUUCUUGAUUCGGUGGGUGGUGGUGCAUGACCGUUCUUAGUUGGUGGAGCGAUUUGUCUGGUUAAUUCCGAUAACGAACGAGACUCUAGCCUGCUAACUAGGCGUAUUUUCGACAUCUCAAAGGUCCGUCGUCCCGGCCCUCGGGUCGUGGGCGUGCGCGAUUUUUACUGUCGGCGUACUAUCAAUUCUUCUUAGAGGGACAAGUGGCUUCUAGCCGCACGAGAUUGAGCAAUAACAGGUCUGUGAUG
rnacentral:rRNA from 1 species